UGCAUGGUUGUCGUCAGCUCGUGUCGUGAGAUGUUGGGUUAAGUCCCGCAACGAGCGCAACCCUUGUCUUUAGUUGCCAUCAUUUAGUUGGGCACUCUAAUGAGACUGCCGGUGACAAACCGGAGGAAGGUGGGGAUGACGUCAAGUCCUCAUGGCCCUUAUGGGUAGGGCUUCACACGUCAUACAAUGGUCGGUACAGAGGGUUGCCAACCCGCGAGGUGGAGCCAAUCCCAAAAAGCCGAUCGUAGUCCGGAUCGGAGUCUGCAACUCGCCUCCGUGAAGUCGGAAUCGCUAGUAAUCGCGGAUCAG
rnacentral:rRNA from 1 species